UACGGAGGGUGCAAGCGUUAUCCGGAUUCACUGGGUUUAAAGGGUGCGUAGGUGGAUCGUAAGUCCGUGGUGAAUCCCCGAGCUUAACUCGGGAACUGCCGUGGAUACUAUCGAUCUUGAAUACUGUGGAGGUAAGCGGAAUAUGUCAUGUAGCGGUGAAAUGCUUAGAUAUGACAUAGAACACCGAUAGCGAAGGCAGCUUGCUACACAGUUAUUGACACUGAGGCACGAAAGCGUGGGGAGCAAACAGG
rnacentral:rRNA from 1 species